rnacentral:rRNA from 1 species
AGCGAACGCUGGCGGCAGGCUUAACACAUGCAAGUCGAGCGGGCGUAGCAAUACGUCAGCGGCAGACGGGUGAGUAACGCGUGGGAACAUACCUUUUGGUUCGGAACAACACAGGGAAACUUGUGCUAAUACCGGAUAAGCCCUUACGGGGAAAGAUUUAUCGCCGAAAGAUUGGCCCGCGUCUGAUUAGCUAGUUGGUGAGGUAACGGCUCACCAAGGCGACGAUCAGUAGCNGGUCUGAGAGGAUGAUCAGCCACAUUGGGACUGAGAUACGGCCCAGACUCCUACGGGGGCAGCAAUUAGGAAUCUUGCGCAAUGGGCGAAAGCCUGACGCAGCGACGUCGC